UACGUAGGGUGCGAGCGUUGUCCGGAAUUAUUGGGCGUAAAGGGCUCGUAGGCGGUCUGUUACGUCGGGAGUGAAAACUCAGGGCUUAACCCUGAGCCUGCUUCCGAUACGGGCAGACUAGAGGUAUGCAGGGGAGAACGGAAUUCCUGGUGUAGCGGUGAAAUGCGCAGAUAUCAGGAGGAACACCGAUGGCGAAGGCAGGUCUCUGGGCAUUAACUGACGCUGAGGAGCGAAAGCAUGGAGAGCGAACAGG
rnacentral:rRNA from 1 species